UCGUACAACGGAGGUGCAAGGGCUGUCGCUGACCUUCAAAGGUCGUGCACGCCUAAGCACUCUCUCACAUCCAUCUCACCCCUUUUGUGCACCACCGCGUGGACCCCCCCUUCUUUGCGGAGAGGGUCUGCGUUUUCACACAAAACUUGAUACAGUGUAGAAUGUCUUUUUGCGGUCACACGCAAUCAAUA
rnacentral:misc_RNA from 1 species